rnacentral:rRNA from 1 species
GCCAGCAGCCGCGGGAACACCGGCGGCCCGAGUGGUGAUCGUGAUUAUUGGGUCUAAAGGGUCCGUAGCCGGUUUGGUCAGUCCUCCGGGAAAUCUGAUAGCUCAACUAUUAGGCUUUCGGGGGAUACUGCCAGACUUGGAACCGGGAGAGGUAAGAGGUACUACAGGGGUAGGAGUGAAAUCUUGUAAUCCCUGUGGGACCACCUGUGGCGAAGGCGUCUUACCAGAACGGGUUCGACGGUGAGGGACGAAAGCUGGGGGCACGAACCGGAUUAGAUACCCGGGUAGUCCCAGCCGUAAACGAUGCUCGCUAGGUGUCAGGCAUGGCGCGACCGUGUCUGGUGCCGCAGGGAAGCCGUGAAGCGAGCCACCUGGGAAGUACGGCCGCAAGGCUGAAACUUAAAGGAAUUGGCGGGGGAGCACAACAACGGGUGGAGCCCUGCGGUUUAAUUGGACUCAACGCCGGACAACUCACCGGGGGCGACAGCAAUAUGUAGGCCAAGCUGAAGACUUUGCCUGAAUCGCUGAGAGGAGGUGCAUGG